rnacentral:lncRNA from 1 species
GUGUCUGAAGAGCACAUAAGACAUAUUAUGCUAUAUGAAUUAUAGCAACAUAGUCCUUAGUACCUUGUCCAUAUAAAGUAAUGACAUGAAACAUCAAUACUAUAUAUGGGCAAGGUAUCCUAAAUGUCAGAAAUUCCAAUUGAGAAGCAGGACCCUCACAGAUAUGCCAUGCAAAAGAUGGACUGUUGAGCUCAAUAAUGAUGUGCUGAGAGCUCCUAUUGAAGGGAAUUCAGAGGCAAUAAUCAAGGAAUUGGCCACAAUCAUUCAUUCAUCCCAUUCAAUUAUUGACAGGCAUCUACAAGAC